UGGCAAGGUAAAGUGACGUGGACGUCAUUUUUCGAUGGAGGGAAGUAUGUGGCCGAUGUAGUUUUUGUAUAUAUUUGUUUUAAUUUCAUUUUAGGUUUUUACGUAUAUUUAUCAUAUAUAACUAGUUGUCCGUUUCAGUCAGCUAUAACAAAGUGUAUCUGACCUGUCUUACCUACUAACUGCCCCAUGGCCAGAAGCUUCAUUUGCUGAUUGGCCAAGCUAACACCUAUUGUUAAACUGCAUGCUUUGAUUACACUGCAUACUCUCUCAGCACAUAAACUGACAGAACUGCUCAGACCAGCAAAGUGUAAAGAGAGAAUAUUAAAUCAGAUAAUCUAUGGUGUUGCCAUAUAGGCAGUUGGGAUCCACACCCUUGUAUCACCCACAGGGUAUGCAUUGUGUUAUUUAUAUUUGUCUAAGACUUACAAUGUAAUCUAAUUGUGAUAACCACAUUUAAUGUAAUAUCAUAUCAUUAAUUUCUGUCUUAAAGUAUUGUAUAUGUUUAUGCAGAAUGUGUAAGCGUUAUGCAUUUAUAUUAUGUAUAUAUAUUGUGUAUAUAUUAUAGUCAAAUGAAAGUCAAGGAGUUAUCUCCCUUGAAUGUCGGUAUUGUUGAUCAUGUACAUACUGUAUAUGUUCUAGUAUAAUCGUUUAAGGUUCAGUCUAUCUUGUGUUUAAUGGAUGACUAAUAUAUGUAAAUAAUUACUUGUAAUACGCCUAUGCUAUGUAUCUAGCAUUAAUGAUAAUGUUUUACUUAGUAUUUAUUGUGUUAUUAUGUGUUUCAGGGUGUAUGAUAUAUAGAUCCUUUAUCACACUCGACGCAUCGCAAUAAAGACCUCAACCCCGUA